UACGUAGGGUGCGAGCGUUGUCCGGAAUUACUGGGCGUAAAGAGCUCGUAGGUGGUUUGUCGCGUUGUUCGUGAAAUCUCACGGCUUAACUGUGAGCGUGCGGGCGAUACGGGCAGACUGGAGUACUGCAGGGGAGACUGGAAUUCCUGGUGUAGCGGUGGAAUGCGCAGAUAUCAGGAGGAACACCGGUGGCGAAGGCGGGUCUCUGGGCAGUAACUGACGCUGAGGCGCGAAAGCGUGGGGAGCAAACAGG
rnacentral:rRNA from 1 species